rnacentral:lncRNA from 1 species
UCUAGGGAGUACUCAACCAUCGUGUAUUCUCAACACCCUCUAGAACCAGGAAUCUCUGUACUUUCCACAGUUCAUUGCUAAGAGAAACUUCUCUGAUUAAGGCCAGGCAUAACAUUUGUCUAUUUGUGUGNNNNNNNNNNNNNNNNNNNNNNNNNNNNNNNNNNNNNNNNNNUAAAAAGCAACUUGACUCUAUAUCACUUUAAAUAAUUGUAGUAAAGUUGCCUGUGUAGCCUAAGACCUGAGUGAUAUAGACGUCCUGUAAAGCAGAUUUCAAGUCCAGUCAGGGAGUAGUUGCUUACCACCAUAUCAGCCAUGCCACUAUUGUACUGUGUGGGUGCAUCUUAACUGGCAGUUUCAUUGGGGUCAAAGAUGAUAAAAGAGUUUUCUUUCUCAUCAGCUUGCACAGCACUUUUCCACAGCACAUGAAAGGUAUCAACAGAAAGCAAGUUUCCACCUCACUUCCAGCUUGAUUUCUCUUUAUCUCAUAACUGAGGUAUAUGAUAUCUUCAGCAAUGGUAUUAACUAGUUCUGGUGAGCAGCCAGUAGCAAUGUCAAGAGCUUCCUUAACAAGCAGCAUAAUGUUGGAUCUCACAUCUCUCAUGAUGUUUUUAGCAAUCCAUUGUUUUUAUCCAUAUCCCUUUAAAUUUUUUAACUCUAUUUCUAAUUGACUUACAAAGUGGUAGUUUCUAAUCUCUCUUCACCUGCUGAUAGGUCAUUUCCUGAAUCUAUGACAAGACUUGAGAGACCACCAAAGCCCAAGAGGUCUUGUUUCACAAGAGAAUCUUCAGGUGUUUUAGGCCUUUAUGACACAUCCCAAGCCCUUCAGAGAGCCACAAGAAUGGCCCAGAGGAAAUUCUAAACCACUAUGACUCAUGGGUCACCUGGAGGUGCAGGCCAUCGCUAUGUUAAACCUAUGAGGUGAUGAUAAACCACACAACUGGAAACCAGAAUGGAAGAACAGAAGCUGGAUCCUUGACAGAAUUAUUGAUGGGAUAGUCCAUCAUCUGGGGCUAAGACCACCUCCAGAUUUCUUGUUUGGUGAAAAUUCCUGAUUGUUUACAUUUGUUUAUUUUGAGCAGUCUCUUACUUGUAGCUAAAAGCAUUUCUAAUAGAUAUUCAAAUUAUCUGCACAGCAAGGGGCAGCCAGAGCUCCAGGGGUUCCAACCUAAAAUAAUCUAUGGAACCGCAGAUAAGUGUCUUAGCUUCUUCAUGAAUUCCUUUGCUCAUCUGUGUAAUGCUCAAUAAAUGUAAAUUGAACCCUGAA